UGCAGUUGGAAAGCAAGUCCUUCGAUACGGCCGUUGUCGUCAAGCUCUAUCAGCAACAAUAGCAGGGGGAAUUAAUUAGGUGGCGCUACAGUCGUCCGUAACGUCAAAAAGUCCGCCAAAUCAAUCGGCUAAAAGAUUGACGUUUAAAGUAUUUUUUGCAACUUGUCAUGCUUUUAUUACAAUUAAAUUUUAAAAUUUGUAGGUUUUGUGACCAAUAUAAUUUAUUUACGAC
rnacentral:lncRNA from 1 species